AUGAUAAUUCAUAAUACAAAUUUUUAUUAAAUUGGAAAAAAGAUUUACAUCAUUAGUAACGUUAAGAUAAACAAACAAUAUUUAAAAUUAGAAUUAAAAAAGAUUAAUUGGAACUGGGUCUAAUAACUUUCCGACAAUUAUAAAAAAAAUUAUUAGAAAAAAACAAUAUUAAAAAUUUUGGGAUUUCCCCUCUUUUCAGAUGGUUUGCGUCGCUUCGUCAGUUUCGGAUGAAUGUUAAUGGACUGCCCGUGUAGAAUGCGGCAUUGGUGGCGGCCUUUGCGGUCAAUAAGGUCCCUUCGAGUUCUCGUCUGUCCGUCCGUCUAGUCUUUGUUCAGUAGGGUCAACAUCGGCUGAAAGGGGCAAGGAAAUAACCUUUAAUUUCUUACUACCUAACCUAACGAGGAGCUCAUGUUUAGGUCAAUGUUUGCAUUACAACCAACGGUGAAGGAAUAUUGGCUUUGGUUUUCACCUUUCAAUUAUUUUCAUGGCUUUGAUUUUUCUAACUCUUUAGU
rnacentral:sRNA from 1 species